AACCGNGGUAAUUYUNGAGCUAAUUCNUGCUAAAAACCCCGACUUCGGGAGGGGUGUAUUUAUUARAUAAAAAACCAANGCCCUUCGGGGCUYCNUGGNGAAUCAUAAUAACUUAACNAAUCCCAUGGCCUUGCCCCGGCNAUGGNUCAUUCAAAUUUYUGCCCUAUYAACUUUCAAUGGUARGAUAGUGGCCUACCAUGGUCUCAACGGGUAACGGGAAUUAGGGUUCGACUCCGGAGAGGGAGCCUAGAAACGGCUACCACAUCCAAGGAAGGCAGCAGGCGCGCAAAUUACCCAAUCCCGACACGGGGAGGUAGUGACAAUAAAUACUGAUACAGGGCUCUUUUGGGUCUUGUAAUUGGAAUGAGUACAAUUUAAAUCCCUUAACGAGGAACAAUUGGAGGGCAAGUCUGGUGCCAGCAGCCGCGGUAAUUCCAGCUCCAAUAGCGUAUAUUAAAGUUGUUGCAGUUAAAAAGCUCGUAGUUGAACCUUGGGCCUGGCUGGCCGGUCCGCCUCACCGCGUGUACUGGUCCGGCCGGGCCUUUCCUUCUGGGGAACCGCAUGGCCUUCACUGGCCGUGUCGGGGAACCAGGACUUUUACUUUGAAAAAAUUAGAGUGUUCAAAGCAGGCCUUUGCUCGGAUACAUUAGCAUGAAUAAUAGAAUAGGACGG
rnacentral:rRNA from 1 species